rnacentral:rRNA from 1 species
GACAGAGGUGCCGAGCGUUAGGCGGAAUCACUGGGCUUAAAGCGUGUGUAGGCGGCCCGUUAAGUGCCCCGUGAAAUCCCCCGGCUCAACCGGGGAACUGCGGGGCAUACUGGCGGGCUUGGGUCGCUCAGGGGCAGACGGAACAGGCGGUGGAGCGGUGAAAUGCGUAGAUAUCGGGAGGAACACCAGUGGCGAAGGCGGUUGCCUGGGGCUUUGCUGACGCUGGAUGCGCGAAAGCGUGGGGAGCGAACAGG